CAUCGAGUUGAUACUGUAUGAAAAUUUAACAUAAAAUUAAUUAUAUAUAUAUAUUUUUCCAUAAUUUUGUAAUUAAUAUUGAUUUGCGAACCAAAGUCAUAUUCCCAUUUGAUUUUUAAUUGGAUUUUGUUUUUGGUUUUUAUUUUAAACAUAAUUUCAAUUUUAAUUAAAUAUAAAAUAAUAUUUUAUCAUAUAAAUAUAUAGUAUUUUAUUAAUUUUGAAUUAAUUUAAGCUUAAAUUAGAAAGUCAGGACUAAUUACUUAAAAGCCUCAAAAUAUAUUCCUUUCCCUCAUCUUCUUUUCAUUUUCACUGUCUUCCUUGCCAACUUGUUUUUCAGGCCUCAACGAUGAUGGCAUCUUUUGCUCAUGAUCACAGACCCACUCAUGACUCAUCGACGUUUCCAAGCAGGGCCCUAAGUCGAGCCUAGUCAUCAUAUCUACCAUGAGAUGAAUUCUUCAGCUCAUGGCAAUAACCAAGCAACCACUAAGCCGACAAAUCAAAAGCAACCACCAAGCAAGGCCUCAAGGUUUGCAUCAAAGCUUGACAGGCUCAACUGUUUCUAUACCAUCUAUUUCUUGCUUUUAUUGUUGUUCUUGCAAAUCAAGAAAUUAUUAAUGUGAUUUGGAUGUUAUUGUUGUUGGGUAAUUUGAUUUGAGGUUUAUGUUAUUGUUGUUACGUUUGUAAUAUGGGUAUGCAAUAAGGAAAUUAGCAAAAUUUUAGCUCUUGCAA